rnacentral:snRNA from 1 species
GAAUACGAACCGUGAAAG